ACCCUCUUAGGGUCGUACGUGGAGAGUGUCCAGUACUCUACCAGUCUCGACUAAGGGAGGGAAAGUCAAGCAGAGACACACCUAUUCCAUUCCUAGCUUGGGCAGUGGCUAGCGAGUGGAAGCAAUCCGCUACAAGU